CGAGCCGCGCGUGCUUGUUCAAAACCCGAUUGCGGGAGCACCGGGUGAGGACGUACUUCUCGUCGUAGGUCGGCGGGGGGAGCUUGUCGAGCCACUCCUGCGCGAUGUGGACCUCGCACUCGGCGGAGCAGGCCUCGAUGUCGUCCAACCGGUGAGAGUCUGGAUCGAUCAGCCCCGUGUUGGCCAGUGCACGGAGGAGAGUUUGGCCGGUGAGGCCGACGACUUCGCGCUUGACGCCGUCGAGAUCGAUGGCGGAGAGCUUCACGAUGCGGUCGGAGACCUUGGCGGAGGUGGAAGUGGUGGAGGAGCGGAGGAUGGAUUUGGAUAGGGAGGGGGUUGGACUGGGGAGGUGGCGGAGGAGGCGACGGAGGAUCGCGAUCGCCAUGGCUAGGGUUUCGAGAUCGUGAGCUCGAGAUUUGAGCUAGG
rnacentral:misc_RNA from 1 species